CCUCCGAGAUUUCUCCUCCAGAUAGCUGGGGCUCUCGCACACCCCCGACAUUUUUUCCCGUUUAAGCGAAUGUUUAGGGCUCUUGGGGCCGAAACUGAUCUCAAC
rnacentral:miRNA from 1 species